UGGUACUUGAGAUAACGUAAGGGAAAAUAAUGAUAUCACCUUACUAUUAGUGUUGUCCAAAUCACUGGUGCCAGAAGACUCGGUAACGCCAGAAACGCAAACGUUAGUCGUAAUAAUAAGGCGUAAAGGGCAAGUAGGCGGCUUUGAAAGUUAUUAAUUAAUUAAGCUUUUGGUUUUUAACCAAAUAAUUGAAUAAAUGCAUUGAAGCUAGAAUCUGAGAGAGGAUAAGACAAAUAAUAUUUAGUGGAGGGAUACAAUCCGUAGAUACUAAAUGGAAUACUAAUUGUGUAAACAUUUAUCUAAUGAAGAUUGACGCUGGGGAGCGAAGGUGAGAAUAGAAAAUAGGAUUAGGGACCCAGAUAUCUCUCACUGUAAACGAUGAAUGGUAGUUGUUAGGCCUUUAAAAAAAGCUAAUAACGAUGUUAACGCAUGAACCAUUCCGCCUUGCGAGUACG
rnacentral:rRNA from 1 species